GUCUGUCCAUACCACCCUGAACACGCCCGAUCUCAUCUGAUCUUGUGAAGCUAAGCAGGGUCGGGUCUAGUUAGUACUUGGAUGGGAGACCACUUGGGAAUACCAGGUGCUACAGACU
ensembl:rRNA 5S_rRNA 5S ribosomal RNA